rnacentral:rRNA from 1 species
GACGAACGCUGGCGGCGUGCCUAAUACAUGCAAGUAGAACGCUGAGGACUGGUGCUUGCACUGGUCUAAGGAGUUGCGAACGGGUGAGUAACGCGUAGGUAACCUACCUCAUAGCGGGGGAUAACUAUUGGAAACGAUAGCUAAUACCGCAUGACAAUAGGGUACACAUGUACCCUAUUUAAAAGGGGCAAAUGCCUCACUAUGAGAUGGACCUGCGUUGUAUUAGCUAGUUGGUGAGGUAACGGCCCACCAAGGCGACGAUCGGUAGCCGGACUGAGAGGUUGAACGGCCACAUUGGGACUGAGACACGGCCCAG